rnacentral:rRNA from 1 species
GACGAACGCUGGCGGCGUGCUUAACACAUGCAAGUCGAACGGAAAGGCCCUGCUUUUGUGGGGUGCUCGAGUGUCGAACGGGUGAGUAACACGUGAGUAACCUGCCCUUGACUUUGGGAUAACUUCAGGAAACUGGGGCUAAUACCGGAUAGGAGCUCCUGCUGCAUGGUGGGGGUUGGAAAGUUUCGGCGGUUGGGGAUGGACUCGCGGCUUAUCAGCUUGUUGGUGGGGUAGUGGCUUACCAAGGCUUUGACGGGUAGCCGGCCUGAGAGGGUGACCGGCCACAUUGGGACUGAGGUACGGCCCAGACUCCUACGGGAGGCAGCAGUGGGGAAUAUUGCACAAUGGGCGGAAGCCUGAUGCAGCAACGCCGCGUGCGGGAUGACGGCCUUCGGGUUGUAAACCGCUUUCGCCUGUGACGAAGCGUGAGUGACGGUAAUGGGUAAAGAAGCACCGGCUAACUACGUG